rnacentral:lncRNA from 1 species
UGUGGAUAUUAUUCCUGAGCGAGAUUAUUUUUUAUUCCAACAGCCGCUACACGCCACCAAUAAAAGAAGCAGCCGAAAUGGAGGUUGAUUGGAUUUUCAGUUUUGUUUAGGCUCUAAAUUAUUGAUAUAUAUAUAUAUAUAAAGAGAUUUCAGUUCAUUUUAGUUUUCAUUUUUCGAUUCCGCAUAUCAAAAGGACAAAAGGAUUUUAAUUUUUCCUUGGUUUCUCACUGUGGGGUUCGUUGAAUUCGUUUUAGUACGGAGAUUUCUGGUUCUGUUUUAUCCAUACUAAUUCUGCUGGAAAUCUCUUGUUGCUAUGGAGUCCGAUUGAAGUGGCGAGUGUCGCUUGAGGUUCACGGUUCCGGUUUGAUUGUUGUUAUCCUGCUCGUUUUCUGUUGCACUUUCAAAUUCUAAUGCCGGUUUGCCUGUAUUCGUUCCUGAACAUAUUAAAUCGAAAGUUGCUCGCAUUCAGGUUCAUAUCCUUGCUCUUUCUCUUAUUUUACUACCGUACUGAUAAAAACAUGAAUUUGAGGUGCUGUUUACUCUUAAGUUCCUGCAGAUGUUCUGAUUUAUUUUGAUCGCAACUUGAAUGCCGUGAGGCCGUUAAGUGCGUUUUGAGUAAUUUAAGUGAUUGAUAUGCUUCAUUCUACUCUUUGUCUGCUCAUGGAUAUAUUAAGAAUUGUUACGUUAGGUUUCAGUAAGUAUUCUGUUUGUGUCAUUCAAGGAAGGUUAAUCCUAUCUUUCUAGGAUCAGAUUAUUAACAUUAUCCCUAUUUUCUUAAAGCUCUCGCUCGUUGUCCUUCAAAUCUAAGCAUGUGAUUAGUAUUUUUCCUAAAAAUGAUUUGUAUAUUUCUGUUGGAUUUGAACAUGGAAGGGAUCUACUUAUAUGAAUUCAAAAGUAAUGUAAUGGAAUCCCAUGGUUUUGAUUGAACAGACUAAUUCGUUAGUCUCAUUUCCUACUAAGACAAUAUUAUACUCAUUCUUCUUUCAAGUUUGGGUCAUAUAUUAAACUCAUCUGAUUUUCCCUCAUUUUCUGUAUUUGAUGCGUACAUGAUACAUAUCUUAUGGAGUCAGUGAGUUGAAUUCGUUUGUACAUGUGCUUCAUAUGUUCGGAUGUUUGUUUGUUCAGAUUACCGUGUAUGUUUAUCUUUAGGGAGUACUGGGUCGUGGGAACUGGUUCAAUCUUUGAUGAAUCCUUGAGUUCCAUUAUUCUCUACGUGGUAUUUGUUUGCUUAUGGUAUUAGUUAGUUAAACACGUAUCAUGAAAGCAUAGGUUGUUUAAAUGAGAGGCAAAUGAAGCAAAAUUCAUUUGGAUGGCGCCGAGGGUGUUGGGUUGAAGUAAAUAAAAUUGGCCUUAAAUGUCUAUCGCUUUAUUUUUUCUACAUCAUCCGCUGGUAGCAUGAUUAGGCCGACCACACCCAAGUAGGCGAACCUCUAGGCGCGUUUUGAAUUUAUUAUCGUGAUUAUGUACACGUUCGCGUGACAUGAUUACGAUUUCUAAAAUGAAUAUUCGUAGCUUGCUUUAGGCGCGGCUUAAUCUAUCAUAGUGAUUGUGUUCACGUUCGAUUGACAUAAUUAUGAUUCUAAAAUAAAUCGAAGUAUGCGUUCACGCAACUUCAGCCAAACUUUCUUAAUAAUAAUAAAGGGUGAUUAAUUUUGGACACGUACGUGUGACAUGAUUCUUGACGCACCGAACAAAAUGAGUACACGUACGCAUGACUCGUUUUAGGAUAAUUUCUUAAAUAAAAGCGGUAAAGGGGUGGAUGCACAUAGGUUCUAAAAUAAGUAAUUAGACAAUUUGAUUAAGCCAAGUAUGAUCAAAGCGACCGUGCUAAAACCACGGAACCCGGGAAUGCCUAACAGCUUCUCCCAGGUUAACAGAAUUCCUUACCUGGAUAUCUGUGUUCACAGACCGUAAAUAGAGUUAAACUUCCUCGAUUCGGGAUUUUGAACCGGUGACUUGGGAUACCAUAAACUAUCCCAAGUGGCGACUCUGAUUUUAGUAAAUAAUCAUGUUUCGAUUGUCACUUAAAUUGGAAAAACUCUCUUAUAUCCCUUUCGUGGUAAUAAAAGGAGGUAUGACAGCUCUGGCGACUCCACUGGGGAUAAGAACCCAGAAUCUCUAGUUCAGGGUUCAGAAUUCGAGCUUGUUAAUAUGAUCUAUGCUUGGCUUUAUUGUUUGUUGAUAUUACUGUAUUUGUGGACUUAAUGUGCUAAUUGCCUCUUAUUUACCGCUUUGAUAUUAUUUGAACUGUAUCAAAUUGUCCUCUUACGCCACCCCUUUGAGUCUUUUAAAAAUGGUGCACACGUUCGCGUGACCCACUUUUUCUGUAGAAGUUAUACCAAAUAGAACGAGGCUGGGCCAGCAACAAGGCCAGGUAGACUUUAGUGCUCCCGUACGUUGCUCCCACCUCGGCUCGAGUUGUCCGCUCUGGUAAGCCAGGUCUUGAACCCAACCCCAGGCUUAAACCUAGAAUAACAUAGCCUCAUGUCGGAUCCGUAGUAGGAACGUUUGUUUGCAUCACAUGUAUUUGACCUCCGGGACUCAACACAAGUGUUGGGUCCGUCUGAGACAGGUGUACCCAAAAUAACAGAUCAUCUUAAUGCAUCCUAUGUGCUACAUGUUGCAUUUCUUCGAGGGUAAAAGGGUCAUUUGGCGGACCAAUGAUAGUUGAGAGCAAAUGAAAAAAGAAAAAAAAGGAUGAAGUGUGAAAAUAAAGCAAGUAGGGCCUAGUUAUGUUUUCUUUCACAUUUUGUUAAGGAAAAGAAAAAAACAUGAAAAAUUCAAAAAAAGAUUUUGCACUUUUUUAUCAUUUUCCGAAAAUAAGAAAAUCAAAAAAAAAUUGAAAAAAAAAAUCCAAAAAGAGUUUACAUGUUUCAUUAUUUUUCAAAAAAAAGAGACAAAAAUAUGUUUUCUCAUAAUUAGUUGUGUUUCAUUAUUUCUCGUCUUUUGGGGCGGAAUACGUAGGCAACCCACAUAGGGUCCGGUCUUCCUAGUAAAUCUUAGGUUCUUGGCUUUGCGGGAUCUUAGCCAAAUUUUGCACUUCUAGCCAUCUUUAGGCCGCAUAAGCCAUUUUGCAAAAAUAGCCUCAAUCAUGUCUUGCAUGUUGUCCAACAGGAAGUGUUAUUGUCUCACAUAGUGUUCUAGGUCUUUAACUUUAUUUGAUCUUAAUUUUAUCAUACAGGUAUGGAUCUACUUACCGGAAUUUGGGCAUGACAGAUGCCUUAUGACCAUCCUAUCAAGAUCGCUCAUUCAGGAGUUUGCUUAAGGAUUUUUUUUUUUAUGUUAUGUUUUGAGUCUGUUUUCUUUUUAUGUCGUCUUUUACCUUCUAGUUUUGUACAAUAAUGCCAAGUCUUUUAGGUGAUAUUAGAGUCUGUCAUAGGCUAGUUAAGUUUGUUGAGUCUUUUGUUAUUGUAUUUCCUAUUUUGUAUUUGAAAAAAGAUGUGUUAUAAAUCAAAAAUCCAAAAAAAGAGAUUUUGCGUUUUAUAUUUCUGUUAGAUGUUUU